UGACAUAGCAACCAACGAUCGCAACACAUGCUCAAAUAGCCGCGUCACAUCUCCGCACGAUAGAGCGUCGACAGCGAAGCAGAAGGAGAAAUUGAAGCACAUAAGGAGACUGCUGCCGUCAGUAAAUAACAUCCACGCUAUACUGCAUCCACACAUUGUCACCUCCGAGAGAGGAUUUUCUUUACCCUCGGCGCAGCGCGUCAUCACGCACACAAUCAGGGCUCGGCGGUAAGACGAUCAAACGAUCGCACUGCAUUCAGUGUCAUCUAGCCCACUUCGUCGUCCGCACGUAGCAGUUCGAAGCUGUCGCGGGGUUUUAUCGAACAAAAAUUUGCCUGCAAUAAAAUUGCAAGAGUGCGCGGGUGCAAAAAGUAAAAUCAAAAUCCGAGUGCGGUGCGAGAAAUUUCGCUGCUGGAAGUGAGCAGUCAGCUUCCCAGAUCAAGGUAUGCGCAAUUUGACGGUGAAGUUGUAAUGAGCUAAUGGCCAUCUUGAUGACAGGUUAAUUCCCCGGACGGCAAAACGCUAGUCGCAGCUAUUGUAAGCGUCGCCAUUUUGAAAGCGCGAGAGUAGGAUCGACACGUGAGCUUCGACAAAUACGGACGACUAGUGGCCAGAUUGCGCUAAACUAAUUUGCAAGCGACACGUUUCACGGUCGCACGGAACACCAGUGCGAGUGCAUCUCAUCCCGGCAUCGCCAGCCAAGAAGCCAAUCGAUAAGAAGAAGACAGCAAAAGCCUUCCAUUGGAAGUAAGUCAAUCUGCCGUUCCACGUGACACGCAGGAAGCUAAUAGCCUGGUGCCGUAGGGCUUUUGUUUUCCAUUUUGCAGUUUCGACGUCCAGCACAGCAAGCGUCGUCGGUCCGAACAGGACGAUUGACGCCACGCGUCCGGAAGAUAGGACAGCGGGCUCGAAAGGUCAGCAACGUCGGUGCAUCACAUAGGUCGCUGGAAGCGCGGCUCAGUGGAACCAGGCAGCAUCCCCGGUGGUAACCGAGAUACGACGUAAGAGCGUCGAUAAGAGCAGGUCAGUCAAGCCGGUGUGAGCGUCGACGAAGCCAGGAUGGUGAGUCAGCAGGACGUCAGUGGGGUAGCGGUGGAAGGCAGGGCGCGCCCUGCAGUGCA